CGCCACGAAGGAGCGGAACGGGCUGCUCCUGUACAACGGGCGCUUCAACGAGAAGCAUGACUUCGUGGCCCUGGAGAUCAUCCACGAGCAGAUCCAGUUCACCUUCUCGGCAGGCGAGUCGACCACCACGGUGUCCCCGUCCGUGCCGGGCGGCGUGAGCGAUGGCCAGUGGCACACGGUCCGGCUGCGGUACUACAACAAGCCCGUCAUUGGGAAGUCGGGG